rnacentral:rRNA from 1 species
UCGAAGGUAGCAUAAUCAGUAGUCUUUUAAUUAAAGGCUGGAAUGAAUGGUUGGACGAAAUAUUAACUGUUUCAUUUAAAUUUAUUUUUGAAUUUUAUUUUUUAGUUAAAAAGCUAAAAUAUAAUUAAAAGACGAGAAGACCCUAUAAAUCUUUAUAUUUAAAUUUAAUUUAAUUGUAAAGAUUAAUUUUGUUAAAAUAAUUUUAAAUAUUUUAUUGGGGUGAUAAUAAAAUUUAAUAAACUUUUAUUUAAAGAUUCAUUGAUUUAUGAUAUUUUGAUCUAUUAUUAAUGAUUAUAAGUUUAAGUUACUUUAGGGAUAACAGCGUAAUUUUUUUGGAGAGUUCUUAUCGAUAAAAAAUAUUGCGACCUCGAUGUUGGAUUAA